GGUGGUUUCGUAUAGUGGUUAGUACAACACGUUGUGGUUAGUAAAAUAAUCCCGUGUAAACCUGGAUUCGAUUUCCAGAACCGCCA